rnacentral:rRNA from 1 species
CGAAAGCCUGACGGAGCAAGACCGCGUGGGGGAGGAAGGCUCUAGGGUUGUAAACCCCUUUUCUUUGGGAAGAACAAAAUGACGGUACCAAAGGAAUCAGCCUCGGCUAACUCCGUGCCAGCAGCCGCGGUAAUACGGAGGAGGCAAGCGUUAUCCGGAAUGAUUGGGCGUAAAGCGUCCGCAGGUGGCAAUGUAAGUCUGCUGUCAAAACCCAGGGCUCAACUCUGGUCAGGCAGUGGAAACUACAUAGCUAGAGUUCGGUAGGGGCAAAGGGAAUUCCCGGUGUAGCGGUGAAAUGCGUAGAGAUCGGGAAGAACAUCGGUGGCGAAAGCGCUUUGCUAGACCGAAACUGACACUCAGGGACGAAAGCUAGGGGAGCG